rnacentral:rRNA from 1 species
AGAGUUUGAUCCUGGCUCAGGACGAACGCUGGCGGCGUGCCUAAUACAUGCAAGUAGAACGCUGAAGGAGGAGCUUGCUUCUCUGGAUGAGUUGCGAACGGGUGAGUAACGCGUAGGUAACCUGCCUGGUAGCGGGGGAUAACUAUUGGAAACGAUAGCUAAUACCGCAUAACAGUAGAUGUUGCAUGACAUUUGCUUAAAAGGUGCAAUUGCAUCACUACCAGAUGGACCUGCGUUGUAUUAGCUAGUUGGUGGGGUAACGGCUCACCAAGGCGACGAUACAUAGCCGACCUGAGAGGGUGAUCGGCCACACUGGGACUGAGACACGGCCCAGACUCCUACGGGAGGCAGCAGUAGGGAAUCUUCGGCAAUGGACGGAAGUCUGACCGAGCAACGCCGCGUGAGUGAAGAAGGUUUUCGGAUCGUAAAGCUCUGUUGUAAGAGAAGAACGAGUGUGAGAGUGGAAAGUUCACACUGUGACGGUAUCUUACCAGAAAGGGACGGCUAACUACGUGCCAGCAGCCGCGGU